AACCGACCCAACUUAACCCGCUUUUAAAAUAUUUUGAGAAACUAGAAAUAUUGAUAUUCUUUGAUUGCAAAUAUUCUCUCCCUCCUGCUUUUCCAAAUAAACAACUUUUUGAAAUCAAAUCUAAAUACUUUUUGGAAAUAGACAAAUAAAAAUUAAAAUAAUUAAAAAGUUAUUAAAAUAAAAAUAAUUAAAAAAUUAAACAAAAAAUAAAAAAAAAUGUAAAAAUAUAAAAAAUAAAAAAUAAAAAAUUAUUUUAAAAAUUAACUAAUGAUUAAAAAAAGUUAAUCAUGUUUAGUUGCUUUUAUACUUUUGAACAGAGGACAGUUGAUGGGUUAGUUUGGGUUGACGAUUUGUGAUGGGUCAACAUGGGCUAGCCUAAAUCAGUCCAUCUUCAAAAUCACUCUAAUCCAAGCCCAUUUGAGCUUGGGUGCAUUGGGCGGGUCAAAUAAAUUUGGGCUAGUUUUGCAAUGUAGGUGUGAUGAGGUUUAGGAAGAAGGGCAAGUUGAGCCUGAGGUAUAUUGAUCCAUUUGAGAUUGUUCAGCGUAUUGGUAAGGUUUAAUAUGAAACCAUCAGAGAAUGAAAAUGAGGUGGCAUCCACUGUGAAAGCUACUACCAAAUAUGUGUUUGUUGCACCAGGUGCUACAGGGAAGGGACGAGGAAGAGGGCUCAAACCUAUAGGCUCUAUACAGAUGUCUAGAACUGAUAUUCCAUUUUCUCCAUCUACUGAUCAAGUUAUGCUGUACAACCAAAUUGUUGAAACGAGUGCUAUAGUGAAGGGCGAGGGCGAGGGCUUAAAUCUAUGUCUACUGGUCAAGGAAUGCGAACGACAAACAAAAACUACUUGGUUCUUGAGAAAGGCCAUAUGCAACCUAAUAUUCCAUCUUUCUCAUCUACUGAUGAAGUUAUGCAAUACAUCCAUGCAAAUUCCAUAAGUGCUCUAGGGAAAGAUCAAGGGCUUAGAUCGAUGUUCUACUUUGAAGAUUCUGAAAAUGAGGAGCAAUCCUUCCAAUAGAAUGCUCAUUAUGCUAGUCAAAGUAUGUCAAGACCUUCUAAGAGUAGAAGAUCAGAUUCUACCAUGUUUGCCGCUCAAGGAUUGCGAAAAACAAAUAAAAAUCCUUUAUGUCAUGAGAAAGAGCAUAUGCAAACUGAUAUUCCAAUUUCUCCUUCUACUAAUGAAGUUAUGCAGUCCACUCAAACAGUUGAAACAUGUGAUCUUGGGAAGAGACGAGGGCUUAAAUCUAUGUGUUUCUUUGAAGAGUCUGAGAAUGAGGAUCGAUCUGUCCAUCAUAAUACUCAUUAUGUUAUUCAAAGUAUGUCAUGACCUUCUAAGAGUACAAGAUCAUAUUCUACCAUGCCUGCCUCUCAAGGUUGGCGAACAACGCAUAAAAAUCAUUUGUUUUAUGAGAAAGAGAAUAUGCAAACAGAUAUUCCAAUUUCUCCUACUGAUCAAGUUAUGCAGUCCACCCAAACAGUUGAAACAAGUUCAUGUACUACUGAAAAGGUAAAAAAGGUUCAAGGAAGUAACAAAUGCAAAGAAGUUGCAUCACUUGAAGUUGGACAAAAGCUAAAAGUAACAUUUUACAAUAAUCGAACAGUUAGAAAGAAUAGCAAUCUAUUUUCGAGGCACUUGGGAAAAUUAGUUCGUGAUCAUAAUAUGUGUCCGUUGGGAGUAUCAUCGUGGGAUCAGAUCAAGGAAGAAAAGUUACAUCACAUGUGGGCAGCUGUUGUGGCAACUUGAUAGAAUAUUCCAAAUUCUUCUUUGUUUUCCUUGUUUCUUACUAUUUUUGGUGCUUAAUUAUUGAGUUUUUAUCAUGUUUUCCACAAAAAUAAAAUAAAAUCGCGAGUUCUAUGUUUUAAAUUCACAAAAAUGAAAUAAAGCUGUGGUUUUGGAGUUGAGAAAAAAGUUAAUUACCAGGUGAUGCUGAGAAAAAACUCUUCAUGGAAAACAUAGUAAUUGAUAACUUAUCAUUUAUUAGCUAGGAUUGAAAUAAUUGGACAGGCUAGGUUGCAACUAAUUAAAGUAGUUACAUUGCUAACUAAUACCUGCUUUAGUUUUAACAAAGUCCAUCCUUUACAAAAACUAAAGACUAUAACGUCGCUAUACUGCCUCAGUCAAGCAGGGUCACCUUGAACCUGCCUCAUAAGAUGAUCUAGCCUAAAGAGAACUUUUGUGUAGAUUAUCGUGUGUGCCUAGUCCUUGCACUUUUAUAAUAGUAAAUUAAGUGAGUCGACACAAUCCGGAUUUGCACUACUCAUGAAUGGACACAUUUCAGUUUGAAAUACUAGGGUUCAAUUUACAAUUUUCUAGCAGUUAUUUCUUCAGUUGUACCAUUUAUUUGACAGCGUACUUUUCAUUCCUUGGUCUCUGGUAAUUUUGGAGAUGCCAUUUGCUUUGUCAAUAACAAUUGUUGAAGAAAAUGAAGUUCAACAUUUCUGAUACAGUUGAGACAGAUCUCACUUUGAAAAACUGGUGCAUUUUACAAUUGGGUAGUAGCUAUAUUUUCUUGUGUUGCAUGGAGUUUUUGUGAUGAUAUUGGAUGUAAACCUAUGCUUUAUUUAUUGCAGGACAAAUUUGAGAGUGAUGAUAUGAAUACUCAUCGCGAUCAUAUUUUGAGAUGGAUGAAAGAGCUAUGGAACAAAUGGAGAGAACAAUUGCAUGCAAAGCAUGUGAAGGAUAAGCCAAUUCAAGAGGCUCUUAAGAAUAUGCCAAAGUGGGUAGAUAAGAAACAAUGCGAGUGAUUGGUAAAGGAACAUUUUUCUACAGAAAGUUUUCAGGCAAGAAACAACAGGAACACAUCAAAUAGAGCUAAGUUAAAGAUGCUUCAUCAUAUUGGUUGCAAGCCAAUUAGAGAGAUUAUUUAUCAAAAGGCUCAAAUCCAAGAAUUGGUGCAGUCCGAACCGUCACUUCCUAGCAUAGACAUUGUAGAAAAAUGCUUUGGACCUCAAAGCCGUAGUCAUGUAUUUGGCUUUGGGGAUGGAGUAAAGGCGAAAGAUUUGAAAAGUGGGACUCCCUUCAAAGCUGAAUUAUUGGCUGAGCUACGUUCAACUCAAAAUGAAAAUAUGUCUUUGAAGGAUCAUUUGUCUAACUUCGAAAAUGAGAUGAAAGAACUGAAGCAACGAAAAGAAUUAUUAUUAGCGCAACACACUAAUUUCCAGCCUCCAGUUCAGGAGAAUGACAAUUCAGAUCCUUGACGAUAUCAAGUUUUGGACACUGAAGUUUUGAAGAAGAAAUUUUUUGAUGACAUGUACAUUGACCAUCUUUUUGCUGGGAAUGUCAAGGAACAGUUUAGGGAUAUUAGUAAUAUAAUUUUUUGCUAAGGGUUUAUGAACACAAUACUAUGACUAGCUUACUUUAUUGAUGUACAGUGCGACUAACUGAUGAUGGUCAAUUUUUGUAAUUAAUUUUACAUAUAUAUAUAUAU